rnacentral:tRNA from 1 species
UCCCUUGUGGCUCAGCUGGUAAAGAAUCCGUCUGCAAAGCGGGAGACCUGGGUUCGAUCCCUGGAAUGGGAA